rnacentral:rRNA from 1 species
AUUGAACGCUGGCGGCAUGCCUUACACAUGCAAGUCGAACGGUAGAGUAGCAAUACUCGAGAGUGGCGAACGGGUGAGUAAUAUAUCGGAACGUGCCCAGUCGUGGGGGAUAACGUAGAGAAAUUUACGCUAAUACCGCAUACGAUCUAAGGAUGAAAGCGGGGGAUUCGCAAGAACCUCGCGCGAUUGGAGCGGCUGAUAUCAGAUUAGGUUGUUGGUGAGGUAAAAGCUCACCAAGCCGACGAUCUGUAGCUGGUUUGAGAGAACGACCAGCCACACUGGGACUGAGACACGGCCCAGACUCCUACGGGAGGCAGCAGUGGGGAAUUUUGGACAAUGGGCGAAAGCCUGAUCCAGCAAUGCCGCGUGCAGGAUGAAGGCC